rnacentral:rRNA from 1 species
GACGAACGCUGGCGGCGUGCUUAACACAUGCAAGUCGAACGGAAAGGCCCUGCUUUUGUGGGGUGCUCGAGUGGCGAACGGGUGAGUAACACGUGAGUAACCUGCCCUUGACUUUGGGAUAACUUCAGGAAACUGGGGCUAAUACCGGAUAGGAGCUCCUGCUGCAUGGUGGGGGUUGGAAAGUUUCGGCGGUUGGGGAUGGACUCGCGGCUUAUCAGCUUGUUGGUGGGGUAGUGGCUUACCAAGGCUUUGACGGGUAGCCGGCCUGAGAGGGUGACCGGCCACAUUGGGACUGAGAUAAGGCCCAGACUCCUACGGGAGGCAGAAGUGGGGAAUAGUGCACAAUGGGCGGAAGCCUGAUGCAGCAACGCCGCGUGCGGGAUGACGGCCUUCGGGUUGUAAACCGCUUUCGCCUGUGACGAAGCGUGAGUGACGGUAAUGGGUAAAGAAGCACCGGCUAACUACGUG